rnacentral:lncRNA from 1 species
UUUUCUGCCGCCCUCCUCUCUCUUCUUGCUUCAGAGCAACACCCCCACCCCCACCCUGUCACAUGAAUGUACAGUGACGUUAUUCAUAGAUCAACUUCAUUGAGCUCUGGCCAAUACGCUGCCAAUUAUUCUUUCAAAUAGCGUCUUCUCUGUGUUAUCAAAGCCUGAGUAAGAAAGCGGCAGAUCCUCUGGUUUGCCAGACAUACUUUUCUGGUUGCUCACAUCUCUAGUGUCACAACAGGAGCCAGUGUACCCUGGACGACAUUGUUACAUGUGCUUUCCCAAAUCCACGGACUUCUGGCUGAUCCGGGGUUGCAAUAUGCACUGCACCACCAUCCUCUCUCUUGGAAAUUCCCUUCGGCUGGGAAAGAAAUGGAUGAUCAAGCAAGCCCAUGAGAAAGACAUUUCGGGAAAACUAGAAUCCUGUUAAGUUAUGGGAUUUUUUUCAAGCCACAUGGUUGAUAAGUAGUCUGACCAGGAUCCUGGAGCAACACAAGGAAGACAAGGACCCUUGAAGACAAGGCAGCCUUGAAACCAAAUGAAGCCCUGGGCCAGUGAGCAUGGCAAGAGGAAGACUGUUAAUUGCGAGAAAGCUGGGUCUUGAAGAUGAUUCCAUAUCAACAUACAGGGAGUUCCACCACUGAAUGGUCUAUCGGUUGGGAAUGCCAUCAUUUAUUUUCACCAGUGGGGAAGAAUUGGUAUUAAUAUCAAAACCACAGUACUGUCAUACCCAGCUAUAAUUUGCAAUGUUUAUAUGCCUGUACGAAUGAAUAAUUAACAGUUAAAUGAAUCAAUAUAUAUCUAUCUAUGUGUAGGAAUAUCUAAUCUAUAAUAUAUGCUCGCGUAAGUGGUAAUUAAUCUCUUUUUUGAGACAGGGUCUUUCUCUGUCAUACAGGCUGGAGUGCAAUGACAUGAUUAUGGACCUUCAGGGAUUGAGCAGCUCGACAUCCCAAGGAUCAAGCAAUCCUCCGGCCUCAGCCUACCAAGUAGCUGGGACUACAGCCAUUUGACACCCCACCCAGUUAAUUUUUGUUUUUUGUUUUUUUGUAAAGACAAGGUUUAGCCAUGUUGCCCAGGCUGGUCUGGAACCCCUGGGUUCAAGCAAUCCUCCCACCUCAGCUUCCCAAAGUGCUGGGAUUAUAGGCAUAAGCCACUGCACCCAGCAUAAAUAAUCUCUUAUUUGUUCAUCCAUGGUGUUGUCUUUAGUUUUUAAAAAUGGAUCCUUUUGUUAUUCUUUUAUAGCCCCAGAUUAAGAAUUUGUCCAAGUUUUGUAUAUUUUUUCAGUUAUUUCAAUAUCAAAGCCCAGCACAUCUUUAAAAUCACUUCUAUGUAUAGAUAUUAACCUUUUUGACAUUUGUGUUUUGGUAUUCCAUAUUUACUCAGUUCUCCUUUCACACCCUCCCUUUAGAAGAGGAGUAUGACCAUGGCAGGAUGGAGGGGUAGUGGCAGUAGGGGCCAUAGUAUGUUUUCUAUAUUUAUCCAGCAUAUUUAAAACAUGGUAUUCUAGCUUCAAGGGAGAACAUUGAACUCCCAUUUGGACAUGUUAAGUUGAAGAUGUCUGUUAGACACCCAAGAGAAUAUGUCAAGCAGAUAUCAUCUGCCCUUGUUUUUCCUUUUCCAAACUGGCUCUCCUUAGUUCCAUCUCCAGAUGACAUGGUCCUCAAACCCUUUGUGAUCUUGGUUCUCUACUCCAGUUCUUCAAUGUUUUUCUUGAAUGUGGCACCCAGAAUUAAAUAGAGCACCCCAGAUAAUGGCUGCCCAGCAGGAUAGACAUGUGUUUGUUAUAUAAUUCUUAGAGACUAUAGCUGACGUCACUGGUGCCCAGCCCAUAUCUUCUUGAGCCCUAGCAUUUUCGUGCAUGGUGGCCUGAUUUCUAACUGUCAGCACCUAAAUAUCUUUGCCUGAGGACUUUCUCUGUCGGCCAGAGCCUGCUUUGUGCACAGUCAGAAGUGCCAAGGAGUCAACACUCCCCAAAGGAGUCUUCAGCCAGUAACGAAAUGAAAGGUGGAGUAUAAAAACCCCAGCUCCCUCACCACUCAGCUGGGGUAGCCCUGAGAUUCAUGCUCUCCACCCUCUUCAGAGUUUCCCGGCAGCAUCAUGUUCCUGUUACCCUUCUCACUACUGACUUGAUGCUCAUCCUUUCUUGGCUCCUUCCCUGUGUCACUUCCCCCAUCCCAUAUGGGAGAAGGCUUCCUGGGUUCACCUUCCAAAGUAAUUACUGGUACUGGAAUUCUCAUCUCAAGUUUUGCCUUAGGGUCACCCAAACUAAGACAGUGCCUAAUGCUGCAUCAGCUUUCUUACCAGUCACAUGAUGCUGUUGUAUCCUUAAUGUCAGAUAAACUCCCAGCUUCUUUUUAUGUCAACUGCUACCAAGCCACACAUUCUCAGUGCUGUGCCUUUGUUAUUGAUUUUUUAACCUAAACUCAGAGUUUAUGUUUAUUCCUGUUAUACUCUUAAGUUUUUUUCCAUAUUCCAACCUAACAGAAUAACUUUGAAUAUUGAUUUGUUCUUUCGUUGUGUUAACUAUCCCUUCCAGACAUGAGUCAUAUGUAGAAAUCUGAUAAGCAUGUUUCCUGUGCCUUCAUUCACUUAAAACAAACAAACAAACAAACUUUGAACAAGGUAGGGUUAGGAAAAGAAUUCUAAACUCAAUUCCUCCCAUUGUUCAAUAAUCAAGAUUCUUUCAGUAAGAAUGCUUAUUGGUAGUGAUUCAAACUAUCUGCACCAGUUCAACCCAGAAUUUACAAAUUUGCCCAUAGGAAUAUCAGGCAAGCUCAGCUCAGUUGCUUUGCUAGAAUAGAGAAGAUCCACAAUUAUGUCAUGCCUCUGAUACAUGAGCCUAUAACCUUAUCAGAAAGGAAAUAUGGUUCAUUUGGCUUGUUAUUAGCAAUUUUAUUUUAACCACUAAGAACCUCUGAAUUCAUUUCUAAAACCCUCCAAUCUUCCUUUUAUUUUCUUUUAUUUAUAUAUAUAUAUUUUUAUUUUAUUUUACUUUAUUUUUGAGACAGAGUCUCACUCUGUCACCAGGCUGGAGUGCAGUGGCAUGAUCUCGGCUCACUGCAACCUCUGCAUCCCGGGUUCAAGCAAUUCCUCUGCCUCAGCCUCCCAAGUAGCUGGGAAUACAGGUGCACACCACCAUGCCCAGCUAAUUUUUGUAUUUUUAGUAGAGAUGGUGUUUCACCAUGUUGGCCAGGAUGGUCUCGAUCUCUUGACCUUGUGAUCUGCCCACCUCGGCCUCCCAAAGUGCUGGGAUUACAGGCGUGAGCCAUCACGCCUGGCCUCCAAUCUUCCUUUUAAUAAUUUGAUCUGGAAUUUUAUCAGGGAGCUAUGCAUGCAUGUCAGGGGAGAUCAAGUUUAUGGUUUCCAGAAUCUACACUUUCUUUUUGAGAAUGGGAACUUUUGCCAGUACAUUGUUUUCCUAUCCUCAUUUCCAUAAUUUCUCAACAACAGUAAGUAGUUUUAAGGUCACAUUUGCAAGUUUUUUGAGGAGCCUGGGAUGUAACUUUUCUGGAGACUUCAACCUACUUUAAAUGGUCACAUGCCCCCUGUGUCCCUCACUGCCUCCCUUCUGCUGAGCUCUCCCCAGUCCUGGGAAGGCUGAUUCUUUAGCUAGAGAACCCAGACCAGCCCUGUGGCCUCAUAUUUCCACAUCAGCCUUCUUGAAUCUGUGUUCCUCCCCCCUCACUUAUCUUUUUACAUCAAACACAUGGCUCAAAGCUUUUGAUAUUUGACUUGACUCUUCAGGACCCCAAGCUCCUCUGACUCAGCCCUCCACCCCCCACCCCUAACCCACGGCCCACUCUGCUUGAGGGCUCCCCAAAACCUCAAACUCCACCGUAAGCUCCCUGAGCAGCCACAAGGAUUUUGGGGUUUGGUUUGGUUUUGCCUCUUACUCCCUUUUCAUUUUCCCUGGCAUCAUUCACAUUCACCAAUCAGAUUCAUUUUUAUCAUCUCCUAUUCCUCAUGAGAAAUACAUUUUUUUAUAACCUUUUACCUUGAAUUCAAAUCCAUUUUUCCUCUGAAGCACCUGAGGUGAGGUGGGUAUCUCCUCUUGUCCUAAUCUUAUCCACAUGCCAUGAUAUGGUUUGUCUGUGUCCCUACCCAAAUCUCAUCUUGAAUCAUAGCUCCUGUAAUCCCCAUGUGUUGUGGGAAGAACCUGGUGGGAGGUAAUUGAAUCAGAGGGGUGGGUUUUUCCCAUGCUGUUCUUGUGAUAAUGAAUAAGUUUCAUGAGAUCUGAUGGUUUUAUAAAGGCGAGUUCCCCUGCAAAAUGCUCUCUUUCCUGCCACCAUGUAAGAUGUGACUUUGCUUCUCCUUUGCUUCCACCAUGAUUGUGAGUCCUCCCCAGCCAUGUGGAACUGUGAGUCAAUUAAACCUCUUUCCUUUAUAAAUUACCCAGUCUCAGAUAUGUCUUUAUUAGCAGCAUCAAAACAGACUAAUACACACCACCAGUUUUCCUCCUGCAUGUUCCUCAGUUCUGCUAGAACUGUAAAAAGAUGGAUUCCAUAGACUGGAGUCACCCUGAGGGCAGGGAUGGACCCCUAU